UACAGAGGGUGCAAGCGUUAAUCGGAUUUACUGGGCGUAAAGGGCGCGUAGGUGGUAAAGCAAGUAAGAUGUGAAAGCCCUGGGCUUAACCUGGGAAGUGCAUCUUAAACUGCUUAACUAGAGUAUGGUAGAGGGUAGUGGAAUUUCCGGUGUAGCGGUGAAAUGCGUAGAGAUCGGAAGGAACGCCAGUGGUGAAGACGACUACCUGGACCAAUACUGACACUGAGGCGCGAAAGCGUGGGGAGCAAACAGG
rnacentral:rRNA from 1 species